AGGCAAUGAGCAGAGCUAGAGUCUGAACUAAUUUUGCUGUUGGAUAAAAGAUGAUCCAGUUCUCCAGGGAUGAGGUGGGGACAGAGAGAAGGCUGGAAAUACAGGGAAGCUAGGGGAACUUCCAGACCCAGAGAUCAAACUCCAGUCUCCUGCAUCUCCUGCAAUGGCAGGCAGAUCCUUUACCACUGCACCACCUGGGAUACCACAAGGAAAACACUGAGAAUAUCAAGAAGAAUAUAACCAGUCUUUGCCCUCCAGAAACCAACAGUCUUAGAAGGAGACAGCCUAGGGGAGUAGGGAGAGAGAGAGAAACAAGCACAGAAUCAAAUCAAUUAUCCAAAGAUUCGUGACCCAGCAUAUAAGUACAGAAGACCUACAAAGUUUUACCGAGGGACUGGAAAGAAAGCAAGGACUCCCUAACUGCCUACAUCUAAUUAUACAAGUCCCCUUUUAUUCAUUACUCUAUCAUACCUUAUCCCUUUGUGUACAUAUAAUGCACAAACUUAUUCAAUGUAAAGACCCCAUAUCUUUAAAGAGGAUGUUGAGAUUAUAAGUUCUUUCAGGAUCCAGUCCAUUAUUCUGAACUUAUUUCAUUACACACUCACAUAAAGCACUGUUAACUAAGCAGUAUGGCUCCCCAAACAGCACAUGACAGUGAAAAUCCUGGGUAGUUAUAACAGACUGGGUUUCUUUGCUUUUGUUUGCAAAUUUUUGAGCAGGAAAGUGAAUUAAAUGGUUUGGGAGGAGGGGUGUUAGUGGUGGGAAAGGGAUAAGAACUGGUUCAUCUCUUUAUAGUUAAGUUUG